AAUUGGAUCCGUUAAAGAGGAAUAUAACGUAGAUAAGACAAAGAAGAUUUGUCAUAUAUGAAAUGAUAAGGCUUGAUCCUGUCAGAGGAAAUAGAUUUAAGGGUAUUUAGUGACUAUGGAAACUACGCUUUGUUUGGCUCGCUUUCAUUUCCAGAUACUCGUCGCCCAUUUAGAAUGUCAGAAUCGUUAGCCAGGCUUUUACGUACGACGCAGGUUUAAAUGCUUAUUCGGCAAAUUGCCCACUGCGCCAUUUACGCAGUGCCUCUUAUCACCUAAGGAAAAUUUCGUACUCCAUCUCAGCUGCAGAAACAACUCAAAAUCAUCUUGGUGGCUCAUUGAAGAUCUAUACAGUCUACGUCGUGCGGGCACAGUGAACUGCUGCCGCCUCCGCGAGGAACUACGACAUUCUUCCAUUUAAAAAUAGAACUCACUCGACUUUUUCAGACGUUACAAAUUGGAACUUCGAAGAAGUUGGCAAUUGACAACGAUUUUGAAAAUUGAUUGACUUUCCUCAAGCGAGAAUGAUAUAUGGAAAAUGAAAAUAAUCGUAUGUCUAAAAUAUUAUUGCACACGCAUCAAAUUCGUAUACGAACGUUUCGACAUAACGUUAGCAAACACGGUGAGUGUGUCUGGAAAAUUUUGCGAAAUUGCCAAAAGCAUCGCACGCACAUAUUGGAACAAAGAGAUUUGUUCCAUAAAAUGAAGAAAGAAUGACGCCAGGGAAGUUUUUACCUCGAAGUACAACGAAAGCAGCAAUAAUCAUUUUGGAAAAUGUUGACGUCUCUAGAACAAAAUUGCUCUUGGAAACACUCGACCGUUAUUGCGACGUAAAUCUGACUGUUCCUCGACUAUUAGAUAAAACCAAGUACGAGUCAACCGAAAAGGAGUAUAGUCAUUAUUUUGGAAAAGGAUGGGUUCGACGAGUUUCUUGAAUUUUCACAUCGUCACUGAACUCGAAGAAGGUCAUCCGUUAUUUCGUCUCCUGGUGAAACUCUUCAGGGUCAUCUAAAUCGGUAGCACGGUCGUCUGGGUGCAUUUUGCAAAAAAUAAAAGGAAGAAAAGUGUCUCCUUUCGGGUAGCUAUUCGUGCCUCCAUUCAUUGUCCGUAGUCCGAAGGCCCAAGAGGGAUAAAAUGUUUAUAUGCCUCUUGGUAUUCUUGGCUCCCGACCAAGAAAUACUGCGCGUGCAUUUUCAAUACGAAAAUAGAUCUCCGACCAGAAAAUCCCCCAUGACUUCUUAUACUGCGCUUAGCCUUAACACUAGUGUACCUGAGGAUCCACGUAAACGUCAAAAGUAGAUCAGAUUUGCGCCAUACUAUGUUUCAUACUAGUCCAUGCGUUACAUCUGCGUUCUAAGUAAUUGUAAAACGAAGGUAGAGGAAACCUAUUGGGUCUCUUAUAAUGCGACGUAGUUACAUACAAGAAUGCGUGUAGGAAUACGCAGUGGAGGAUGUCGCGCGUGGGUGAUUUUGUCGGAAAUUAAAGAGGAAAAACCUUGACGCGAAGGAUGGAAAAUUCAAAGAGGUCGUCGAUUUCACGUACCAAUUUAAAGCAGGGGCCGACGUCUUGGCUCUUUGUGCCGUCCAGAUGAUAUUCUACGUCUCGCGGAUUUGCGUAUUUUGGUAUUUUCGUAUUUACCGAGAAUUCGCAUUUACGUAUCUUCUAAAUCCCCCGGAAACGCACACGCGGCGGCCACGCGCCAAACUUCGCCGGAGAUUGACCGCUGACUUUACUGUGUCUUCCUUUUUUAUUUUUCUUACUUCCUUCUAACUCGUUCUUUUUUUCCACUUGAAACACUCGGUUUUUCCCACGUUGAUAAUAGCGUCUAUCACGUGUCUCUUGGAAACUUCUCGGUAAGAUGAAAAUAUACCUUGCUCCUGUUCUUCUAUUCGCGGUAGAAAACGAAAUUUAAUAAUAAGCAAAACCCUCACUGUCAUCUAGCCAAUUUUUUGGAUUUUCUUGGAUUCUCUAUUAUUUCAAUGAAUCAGUUGCGUUAGUAUGUUCGCCGUGUAAAUGAGUUCAGAUUUAUAAAAGAAAAAUAGAAUCAACCCACGCAGCAAAUAGACGGCGGGCAACGUGCGUCCAUUCGAUUGUUUACAAGCAGCAAUAAAAAAUAAUAAUAAUAAACAUACAAAAAUAUUUACAGUAAACACAAUAAUUCUUAAGUCAUGCAUAAACACUGAUUAAUAUCAAAUUAAUCAUCUUUGUCUCUACCAAAUUUUGUAUCCGAUGAACUUUGAAGCACGGUUUACGAUCAGCCAUACGUAUUAUAAGAAUUAAUCAUAAUCCUGAAUCAUAGUACUUAGACAUAUCAGUGAGCAAAAAACUGUCGUCAAUGCAAUAUCUAUGAAUAAUAAGAAUAGCUUUGAUAAGAAGUGAUAAAGGAAACUACGUAGUACACGUA